CACCCCCUGUAGUGUUCGACAGCGGCCUGGGUAUUUUCUUGAGCCUAUCGACGACCCCGGGGAUAUGACCGCAACGCGGUUGUGCAUGUCCGCCAGCGAGCGGAAAGCCUGAAGCAGCGCCGAGUGUCCCCACUUGAACCCUACUGGUUCAAGAACGAUGGGUUGCACCGGCACCAACGGGGGGUGU
rnacentral:other from 1 species